rnacentral:lncRNA from 1 species
CAGAGGGGGUUAAGAUUGCAGAUGGAAUUAAGGUUGCUUAUCAGCGGACUUUAAAAUAAGGUGACGAUCUUGGAGUGUGUGCUUGGGGUCUUGCUAUGUUGCCAAGACUGGUUUUGAGCUCCCGGGCUCAAGCGAUCCGCCCACCUCAGCCUCCUGAGUGGCUGGGACUACAGGAAAACCACCAUGCACACUGACGCCUUGAUUUUAACCCAGUGAGCUGUAUUUCUGAACUUCAGAACUGUAAGGUAAUAAAUUCGUGUCGUUU